GACGAACCGUGCGAUCGUUGUUCGGAAUCACUGGGCUUAAAGGGCGCGUAGGCGGGUCACCAAGUCUGGGGUGAAAUCUUUCGGCUCAACCGGAAAAUUGCCUUGGAUACUGGUGGUCUCGAGGGAGGUAGGGGCAUGUGGAACUUCCGGUGGAGCGGUGAAAUGCGUAGAUAUCCGGAAGAACACCGAUGGCGAAGGCAACCACCUGGGCCUGUACUGACGCUGAGGUACGAAAGCGUGGGGAGCAAACAGG
rnacentral:rRNA from 1 species